GCUCGACUAGCUCAGUCGGUAGAGCGCACGACUCUUAAUCGUGUGGUCGUGGGUUCGAUCCCCACGUUGAGUG
rnacentral:tRNA from 1 species